CUGCUGGCAGCCGUAAGCCGGGACAGGGCAGCGGCGCGCCCAUCCGCACGGGGCCCGUCGGUUGAUGCGGUAUGCCUGGCGUGUAGAACGCGUGCCCCAACACAUUAUACCAUGCGAUUACAGCACUGGAAGCUUCGGAGUCGCUGGGGAAACGGCAUACCAAGCCGCUGCCCACCAGGCCGCACAUGCAACCGUCCAAAAUCACACGCCCAGCAAU
rnacentral:lncRNA from 1 species